UCACUCUUGUUUCCCUUCAGAGCGCAUAAAUCUUUCGCCUUUUACUAAAGAUUUCCUGUGGAGAGGAACAUUAAGAGUUAUAAAUAAUUUUUUGAUGCCCUGCUUCAUGCGGGGCU
ensembl:snRNA U5 U5 spliceosomal RNA